rnacentral:lncRNA from 1 species
UGCUUGAGUAUUCCUGGCACGGGUCUGGCUGUAUGGGAGCAUGAAGGCUUUUGAUUAGGUAAACAUCUCUCACAUUGGGAACAUCCGCACCUGAUUCAGAGGCUGAAAGACCAGCCUGACAUUUCUGGCAGACAGAAAGGGAGCUGUUCCCAGGACAAGCAGGUGAUUUUUCCCAGUCUGCAGCACUUAACUGUGGCACUGCUCCCUGCCAGCUGCAAGUGAUAGCAUCAGAAUUAAGUGCUAAAGAAUGCGGAGAAGUUGAAUUGUGACACUUAAGUA